GAUGAACGCUGGCGGCGUGCCUAAUACAUGCAAGUCGAGCGAACGGACGAGAAGCUUGCUCUUCUGAUGUUAGCGGCGGACGGGUGAGUAACACGUGGAUAACCUACCUAUAAGACUGGGAUAACUUCGGGAAGCCGGAGCUAAUACCGGAUAAUAUUUUGAACCGCAUGGUUCAAUAGUGAAAGACGGUUUUGCUGUCACUUAUAGAUGGAUCCGCGCUGCAUUAGCUAGUUGGUAAGGUAACGGCUUACCAAGGCGACGAUGCCUAGCCGACCUGAGAGGGUGAACGGCCACACUUGAACUGAGAAACGGUCCAGACUACUAAGGGAAGCCGCAGUAGGGAAUCUUCCGCAAUGGGCGAAAGCCUGACGGAGCAACGCCGCGUGAGUGAUGAAGGUCUUCGGAUCGUAAAACUCUGUUAUUAGGGAAGAACAAAUGUGUAAGUAACUAUGCACUUCUUGACGGUACCUAAUCAGAAAGCCACGGCUAACUACGUG
rnacentral:rRNA from 1 species